UUGUAUUUUAUUUUCGAGUCUUUCACCUAUCCUCAUAUUUCCCACCCAGUUUUAUAAUCAUGCUUGGUCAUCCCCAAACUGAAUUUUUGGGGAAGUGUGUGACUUGCCACCUUGAACAGAAAAUCCAUCCAGUUGUGUAAACAGCACCUCAUAAGGAAUUUGGGGCAGCUUCUGAAAUAUUCCUAUGUUAAUGACAGGACUUCUGGUUUUGAACUUUUAUAUGUAAUUCUGCUUUGUUUGGUAAUACUUAAGUAGGGAUGAUUCCUGAUAAAAACAUUGAUUUAGCUUUACAGCAAGCUUUUCAAGAUUUCUUUUAGAAUCUCUUUCUGUUGCCGUUCAAUGAAUAGUUCAAGUCUCUUUUACAGACUUUUGUCUUAAUAUUCUAGUUAAUUCAUUUAAAACUCAUCUUUAAUGAGUUUUAAAGUAUUAAAUAUUGGAUGUAAGUUGCUUAUGAAAUCAAGUAGGUUUUGUUAAUGUGAAUUAUUUCAACGUGUUUUGUAUAAACAGCAAGUUUCAUUAAAUAAUUAUGAAUGCAUCACAGAGGAGUAAUGCACUUUAUACUUUUUUCUAUAAGACCUAACAUGCUGCCCCAAUGCAUGUAGAUUCCUGGCAUCAGAAUGUGAUGUACAUCUCAGGGGUAGGGACUGGCAUGUGCCACAUGUCAGACGUGGUGGGUCAUGGCUCUGGUGUGGCGUGCCCACCUCUGAUUGAGCAUUGCUGAGCCCCUUCUUCUCCAACAGCACAGCCUCAAGUGGGAGGACGGCAGCCUCAGCUUUCCAGGGGAGCAUCCUUCUGCCUGGCCUCUGUGGGGACGCUUGUCCCUGUUCAGGACUCCCCAUGAGGCUGUCACCUCCUGUGUCACUGCUGUGCACUGCCUGUGUCUGUCAGGCUGAGAUCCCAAUGUCAGGGUGAGGAGGCAAUGCUGCCAGGGAGACGUGUGUGGGCAGCAUCACUUGGAGCAAAUCAUGGCAAGAACUGAUGAGAAUUGUAAGUCUUCUCUCUGUUACACCAGGUAGGUUUUAUAAAGUUUGUGGAGUUCUGCUUUUGUUUUUUUUUUUUCCGUUCUAGGCCCUACAGUGACCUUACUGUUGGCUGAUUCCAGAGAGCCAUCUCAUUAUUCUGAGUUGAAAUUUCUCCAUCUCCAAAAUCAGAGUUACUCCUGUGUGUCUUCAUGGGAAGAAUACACAUCACAGUCCUGCUCUGACAACAUAGGCCCAGGAAAAUGAAGAAGAGCAAGUUUUCCAUUAUUGUAAACUGCAAAAAGAGCAAAGAAAUGCAAACAUCCUUACCAUCAAGACUAGGUGGGGUAGCGCUGAAGGAAUUAUUUCAUCAACUCCUGAAAUGCAAAACCUACGGCAAAGAGAAAAGUCAUUCUUGUGAUUGCAUGUCUGACCUAAAGGACAAGUUUUCUCCAAGUAUGAUUUCAUUCAGGUGUCUGUAUUUCUGAUGACCCAGCUUUUUGGUAAGAGGGAAACUGCUUUCAGAGAGGAACACUGUGAUUCAGAAAGCAAUGAAGGGGCACAGGAAGUGAACUUCAACAUGUCAUGAAGAGACCAGCCAUUCAUAAACAAAGGAAAACUGUCUUCCCUGUUGAUCCCUUUCAUCAGCUUAACACCUAGGCUGAUGGUGCUAGUUCCUGUCCAAACUGAGAAAAAAGGUAAAAGCAGUGUCUGUGCUAAAGACCUCACAGUCUGAACAUGCAAAAGGAGCCAGGAGAUGAACACAGACAAGAGGCAGGACUAUCAACAGAGCACUAUGGAUCAGCACAGCCAGCAGUUAAGAUUUCAGUAAAAAAACUGAUUUGGAAAGUUAUUGUCUGGAAGCUGUAUUUGCAUAAAGCAAGUAGCAUCAACCUGCAUUUGUCCAGUGCUGACGAAAAAAACCUUCACAGAAAAGGAAGGUAGUUUGCUCUAGUGAAGGAAGAGCUGAAGGAGCUGAAGGAAGGAGACAUGCUUGAGAAAAAAGUUUCCAGCGUGGGUCUGCUGCAGAGGAGAAGAAGUACUGUACUGUGGGUAUGGUUCCACUAGGAAAUUGGCCAAGGAAUUGUCACCUAUGCCACACAUGCCUUCUUCAUGUAGAGAAGCUUUUCUACAUGUCAGAUGAUCCUUGUUGCACCCUGCUUUAGCUCUCCUCCUUCUGCUGUGCCCUUUGGAGAGAGCUGCAUGGUCAACUCAUGUCACUGCUGUCACCCUGCUGAAUGCCAUGUCACACUGCCAAUGCUUGGAAGCACUGACUGCUGGCUUCUGCAAGACUGGAAGGAAAGGAAGACCUGGACACACUGACUGCAUCUAAACUAUUAAACAAAAUUAGUCAGAGGAUUUUCCUGGAGGCCAACUGGCAUGAAAGAGCUUGAAUCCACACAGCUAAACUCUCUUGCCCUCCAAAUCACGGUGGCCACAUCCAAAACAUCUAUUGGAGAUGGUGUCUGACCUGGGUCAAUACCCAAGCUGUACUUAGCAUUGUCUGGAAGAGCAAUAACAGGCUCACACCAAAACCAUGCCAGGGACCAGUUUAGUAGUAUGGAUGGUUUCAGGCCCAUGCCUUGCUGGUCUUGUUCAGUUUAUUUAGUGUCAGAGGGAAACCUCAGAAAUUCUGCCAGGAGUCAACAGGAAACGCCUCAGUGACCAGAAGCUGCUGAGAAGUAUAAUCAUUAGGUUGUUCACCUUCUUCACAUUUGGAUUCUUUUUCUCGUUUUAUUUUUUUUACCAAAUAAGCACUGCAAAUUUUUGAAAUCUCACAGAGUAAUAAAAUUGGGUUGUUGCCUGCACAAAACUUGUUCGUUUUGAACUACCAAAAUAUUUUUCACACAAGCUGAGCCUCUGGAAAAGCUCUCCCCUGCUGAAGGAUCUCCUACGGCUUUGAGGAAGUUGCUAAGAGCUUGUGUGACCAGCACCCUGUUUGGAUGUAGGGGUAAAAAGCAAUGAGGUGUUGAGACACAAACACACCAGGUGCUUGAGGUCACAGAAGCAUGCUGAACUGAUGUGAACAUAAAACUCCCCUUGAUUUCUGUGGUAACUUAUUUCACAUGUCUGGGAAGGCAAUUUAUUUUAAACCUUGCAAAAAGGACAUGAGCACUUUGUUAUAUCAGAAUCUUUUCAAAGUCAGCUCUGGUGCUGGGUUUGGGUAAGCCCCAUAUGUUCUUCCUACAGUGUGAGGUAGUUUGAAGAGCUUGGGCUCUGUGUUUCUAGAGCUAACUCUGUGCAAUGGUACCCCAGUUAUCCCAUGGAACACUGUACUUCACAGUACUGUGUAAUACUUCUCCCUGCAGCAAUAUAAAUCAGAAUCAGACAAUCCAUGCCUGAAUCCUUUUCUCUAUUCUGAAGAUAAAUGGCAGUGAAGGCUGAGUAGUUUUAAAAAGCUCAUAGUACAAAAUUAUUGUAUUAGGCCAUGCUGUAUUACUGAGAUUACAGAAAAUUACCUACGUGUAUUGAAUUAAACCAUGAUUUUCCAAUGAUCUCAGCAGCAGUAGCAGAACUGGGACAAUUUAAUCAUUGUGCUAUCGGUUUGGUAGGUAACUACUAUCCUGAAUUGCUGUUCAGAAUGAAAAAAAUGGUAUUGUUUUAUCCAGAAACUAACCCUUAUUUAACUUCCAGCACCAGCCCUUACUUUUCUUAGACUUCAGGCCUAUGUUUGAAUUUCUGAAGCUGUCAGGUACUGAUUUCAGCAACAUUUAAAGCAAUGCAUAUUUCGCCUCAGGUUUGCUACAGGAUGAGUGUGUUCUUAAUUAAUGUAGUCAUUUGAUGUACAGCACCUCGCUGAACUAUUAGAACCUGAUUGUGUGCUUUUACCCAGUGUUCCUUUUUGGGUAAAAAGUCUGUUUCAUAACUGACCUAUUCAUGGAUCAGUCUCAUAAAGGAGGUUGUAGAGCCCUACACAUGCUAGUCAUACCUGGCCCAGGCUGUGCAAAUCUUAUUUAAUGGAAAUGUUAUGAAGCAAAGAGUAAAGUUGUUGCCCAGAAUUAUAUACUCAGAAAUUGGUAUUUUUUUCCCUGAGCUGGAUUUUGAAAAGCAGGAGGUAUGGUAAAGCAGAGGAGGAACAUUUAUACCUUAUCUAAUUUUGCCUCCCUUUUCCUUCCCUUUUCUGUCUUGCCCCUCAGUUUUCAAGCACUCGCCCAUGGGUGCUUGCAUAUGGCAGUGGCUGUGCUCAGACCUACUGAGAUCAGUGCAUCAGUUAAGGUUUGUAAGGCCAUAAUGUGUUUAUUUUUGCAGUCUGAUCUUGUGAGAAACUGAGGAGGUCUUGCAUCUCCCUCCUACUGAUAACGGUGCUGUUGAAAGAGCUCAGUGGAUUCCAGGGCAAAGCCUUGGAGGCUGUGGGUUAGAGAGCUGCUAACUCUCUUUUGGAAGUACAUGUAGAUUCCUUUGGCCUUCAUGAGGGAAAUCCUGGCUCCCCACUAAAGAACAAGAAAAUAAAACAACAAAAACUUAAGAUACAAACCCCCAACACAAUAGUUAUAGUGGUCCAAAUAAAACAUAAAAACCCUAGUCUCAGCCCAAGCACUCAGUCUGGGGAGGCUUUGGAAUUAGGGGCUUGAAGCUCGACCCAGGGAUGAGUCCAUGUUCUCUUUGGGGACGAAGGAUGCAGGCUCUGGCCAUGCUGAAGUGGGCUUUGGUGUGCUAGGACGUAGCCCAGUGGCCUGUGCUGGUAGUCCCUGCCUGCUGGCUCAAUGCCCAUUCACCAUGCACAGGCUGUGAGCUGUUCUCUGCAGCCAUCACCCCAGCCUUCAUCUCAGGCUCUUUUUGACCCUCUUUGGCUGUUUUAAAGCUGGAUCCUUUCAGCUUAUAUUCUCUGUCAAAUAAUUUGCUCUCCCCCUCGCCCUGCCCCCCCCCAGCCCCUCCUCUACUUCCACAACUGAACUCACUUUUCCAAACUCCCCACUCCACCAUCUAUCCACUCCAUAUGUUUAUAUUUUCCUACUGCUGAGGCACAGCAUGCUGACCUGCCUGGACAGAGCUCCUUUAUCACAGAGAUAAACAUGAUGUCCCCCUCACAUAGAGUUUCUAUCAUGUGUGACCUUUCAUCUUGAACUGCCGUGACCUUUUUUUUAUUAAUGCUGUACUGUGCUGCUUGCAGAAGCCAGGAAAGAAAAUCUUUUGUUUCUAGAUAGAAUACUGCUAAAGGACAUGAUACGGUCUUGUUUUUAAUCCAGCUAAUUAAAAUCUGCAUGUGCAGUGUAACUGAGAAUGCAGCCUUCGCCCACCACUUUCCCACAGGCAGGGAAUAAAGGCCUUUAGUGCAGCAGCAGCUAGCCACCCUUGGAUAACAGAGAACAGAGACCACAAUUCAUCCCAGCUUUCCUUAUCAUAUUCGCAGAGGGCUUUCC